GCUGGGUAUAGUGGCGUAUGCCUGUAAUCCCUGCAGCUCAGAAGGCUAAGGCAGGAGGAGUGUGAGUUCAAAGCCAGCCUCAGCAACUUAGUGAGGCACUUAGCAACUCAGCAAGACCCUGUCUCUA
rnacentral:sRNA from 1 species